UACAGAGGGUGCAAGCGUUGUUCGGAAUCAUUGGGCGUAAAGGGCGCGUAGGCGGCCUCCUAAGUCAGACGUGAAAUCCCCCGGCUUAACCUGGGAACUGCGUCUGAUACUGGGAGGCUAGAGUGCGGGAGAGGGAUGCGGAAUUCCAGGUGUAGCGGUGAAAUGCGUAGAUAUCUGGAGGAACACCGGUGGCGAAGGCGGCAUCCUGGACCGACACUGACGCUGAGGCGCGAAAGCUAGGGUAGCAAACGGG
rnacentral:rRNA from 1 species